UACGGAGGGUGCAAGCGUUAAUCGGAAUUACUGGGCGUAAAGCGCUCGUAGGCGGCUGGAUAAGUCGGUUGUGAAAACCCCGGGCUCAACCUGGGAAUGGCAGUGGAUACUGGCAAGCUGGAGUGCGGUAGAGGGGAGUGGAAUUCCCGGUGUAGCGGUGAAAUGCGCAGAUAUCAGGAGGAACACCCGUGGCGAAAGCGGCUCUCUGGAACGGUACUGACGCUGAGACGCGAAAGCGUGGGGAGCGAACAGG
rnacentral:rRNA from 1 species